rnacentral:lncRNA from 1 species
CUUCAAAGAGUGCAAGAUGUUCAUGUAAUGAAUAGCACAGGAUCCCAAGGACACCUCAGUCAUGGCAACGCAGUGAAGCAUGGAGAGUUGUCACCGGAAAUGGAUGUGAUAACAGCAGGUUAGUUAAGGACUAUGGCAUCUGACUUCGCCAUUUGUCUCCAGGGCUGGCCUGUCUACUAGGCAGCGCUGCAGGUAAUUAUACUUUAGACAGCUUCCUUGAUUUAUCAGCUGCCCAAUCGGCUGAAGGGUGUACGGGUUGCCCUUGCAACUUCAAGCAUGGAGAGGUAUAGCCUCUGAUGAGCAGAAUCUGUGACACAUUCGCUCGCAAGAACUUCCGGAUUGCCUUGCUGAGUGAGGCCAGGUUAUCUCUCGCUUGGACUACUGCAAUGCGCUCUAUGUGGGGCUACCUUUGAAGGUGACCCGGAAACUACAACUAAUCCAGAAUGCGGCAGCUAGACUGGUGACUGGGAGCAGCAGCCGAGACCACAUAACACCAGUCUUCAAAGACCUACAUUGGCUCCCAGUAUGUUUCCAAGCACAAUUCAAAGUGUUGGUGCUGACCUUUAAAGCCCUAAACGGCCGCAGUCCAGUGUAUCUGAAGGAGCAUCUCCACCCCCAUCAUUCUGCCUGGACACUGAGGUCCAGCGCCGAGGGCAUUCUGGCGGUUCCCUCAUUGCAAGAAGCAAAGCAACAGGGAACCAGGCAGAGGGCCUUCUUGGUGGUGGUGCCCGCCCUGUGGAACGCCCUCCCACCAGAUGUCAAAGAGAUAAGCAACUACCAGACAUUUAGAAGACAUUUGAAGGCAGCCCUGUUUAGGGAAGCUUUUAAUGUUUACUAGGUUAUUGUAUUUUAGUGUCUGUUGGAAGCUGCCCAGAGUGGCUGGGGAAACCCAGGCAGAUGGGUGGGAUAUAAAUAAAUUAUUAUUAAUUAUUAUUAUUAUUAUUAUUAUUAUUAUUAUUAAUCCAGCAGGUUGCUAGACAAUGAGCAAAAUCAAGUAGUAUGUUUUCUUGGACUGUGCCAUUUCAGGCUGAGCAAGGGGGACAGAUGAGCUUGGGUGUUCCCCUGCCUCAAGAAUUUCCCAGCACACAGAAAACCAGAAAGACACAGCUAAAGGAGAAGCCUUGUCUUUCCAUCAAAAGCUUGUCCCAGUUUGGGGACAUGGUGGAUUGCCCCAAUGCAGCUAUUCCCUGACUCUGGAAUUUUAUUUUAAAAUGAGGCGGGGAAAUAUCCUGCAACUCAUCCUAAAGGAUGUUACACCUGCCUGCAGGCAGCCAGGCACCCUGCAAAAGGGGCUUUGUGGCUCAGUGGUAGGAUGGUUCCAGGUUCAGGUUUGGGCAACUUCAGUUUAAAAAAGGAUCAAGUGAUGGGAAAUGCCUUUCUCUGCAUGAGACUUGCUGCUCAUCAGGGUAAACCACCCGUGGACUAUUUUAUUAAAUUGGCAUACUGCCUUUCAUCUGAGUAUCAUAGGCUUCUUCUGUAGCCCAGAUGCCACAAUCCAGAUGGAAGAGGGUCAGGGGAAAUCUAGGUUUGCAGAAGGACAAAGAAAAAGUUUCUGAAAAACUACCUGAUGGCAGCCACUCCACCAGGCCACCUCAAGAGGAGAGAUAGGAAACAGAAGGGUCAUCCCAUCCAGUUUUUGCUGGAGACACAGCUCCAUCAAGCACCUCCUUGCCCCCGAGCUGUGCCAGCUGGUCAUUAUAGAAGCAACUGUUUAGAAACUGGUGCCUGAGUUUUUGCUUUUCCUCUUCCCUCCCUGUCCCUUUUGCCUUGAUUGCCGUGGUUUUUAAAAAAUAUUAUCAUUGUAAGCCUGCAGGCAGGGACGCGGGUGGCGCUGUGGGUUAAACCACUGAACCUAGGACUUGAGGAUCAGAAGGUCGGCGGUUCGAAUCCCUGCAAUGGAGUGAGCUUCCAUUGCUCGGUCCCCGCUCCUGCCAACCUAGCAGUUUGAAAGCACGUCAAAGUGCAAGUAGAUAAAUAGAUACCACUCCAGCAGGAAGGUAAAGGGCGUUUCCGUGCGCUGCUCUGGUUCGCCAGAAGUGGCUUAGUCAUGCUGGCCACAUGACCCGGAAGCUGUACGCCGGCUCCCUCGGCCAGUAAAGCGAGAUGAGAGCCGCAACCCCAGAGUCAGCCACGACUGGACCUAAUGGUCAGGGGUCCCUUUACCUUUUUUACUUUGCACCACCCGAACCGAAGUUCACGAAAGCUGACGCCUGAAUAAAAGCCUUUGUUUUUAAGGUGCCACAAGACUUUGUUGUUUUUGCUGCAGGAGACAAGCCCUCUGGAAAUGGAAACUGUCUGUAAUGGAACCCAAGGGAGGAGGAGGAGGAGCAGCAACAACCAUCACAACUCAGGAAUGCUAUUUGCAAACUCCGACUGUGUCAACCCUUUCCUCGUCUCUCCGCUUUGUGCCACCAGGGGGCACUCCUGCCGUGGAUGUUGGGCUCGCCCUCAGAAUCUCCACCAGCUGUGAAGGCAUCAGACUACAGUUCCCAUCAGCACCCUGCCCCUCCAGGUGUUUUCCAACCAGAACUCCCAACAGUCCCAG